CUUGGGGACGUUGGGGACCCUCCUGCUGACGUUGUCCCCUCCUGUCCCCUCAGGCUGCCACCGCUGCCCACAUCCUGCUCAGUGCCAGCUCGCUGUCACCGUCCCUGUCACCGCGCUACGAGGACGGCGUCCAGGGCGUUUUCCUGAGCGGUGACAUCCAGCUGGACACCUCGAGGACGCUACGGGUGACAUCCGGUGGCCUCUACCUCCUCUACGGCCAGCUGGGUGUCACCUGCACCGCGGCCACCUGUCCCCAAGGCGCCGUCACCCUGCAGCUGCGCCGCGCCGGGUCCCCAAGGCCGCUGCUGGCCGUGCCACUGUCCCUGCCGGCCGCCACCGGGGGCCACCGGCAGCGGUCAGCGCUGGCCCAGGCCGUGGGACAGCUGUGGCCUGGGGACACGCUGAGCCUCCAGCUGGUUGGGGACACCGCUGGGGACACCGCUGGGGACACCGCUGGGGACACGGGCGGGUGGCAGCUGGAGCAGGAGGAGCGCGAGGGAAACUUCGUGGGGCUGCUGCGGAUCGCGGGGGGGUGACGAGUGGUGGCACCGGGCGGUGGCACCCGGUGGUGACACACGGGUGGUGAGGGGGUGGCCGGCCUGGUCACCUGCCGGGGGGGGGCUUGGGGACAUCGGGGAGUCCCGAGUGUGGAGGUUUGGGGACGUCAAGGGACAUCGGUGACGUCCAAACCCAGAGAUGUGGGGACAAGGGACAUCGGUGACAUCCAAACCUGGAGGUCUGGGGACAAGGGACAUCAGUGACGUCCAAACCUGGAGGUUUGGGGACAAGACCACAACACCCAGAGAUUUGGGGACAUCAAGUGACAUCGGUGACCUCCAAACCUGGAGAUUCGGGGACAAGGGACAUCGGUGACAUCCCUGGUUGGAGAUUUGGGGACAAGACCGCAACACCCAGAGAUGUGGGGACAAGGAACAUCGGUGACAUCCAAACCCAGAGAUUUGGGGACACCAGGUGACAUUGGUGACCUCCACACCUAGAGAUUUGGGGACACUGAGUGACAUCGGUGAUGUCCACACCUGGAGGUUUGGGGACAGCAAGUGACAUUGGUGACGUUCAUGGCCGAAGAUUUGAGUGACAAAACCUUGUCCCCAAAGACUGGGGACACCAGGUGACAUCGGUGACCUCCACACCUGGAAGUUUGGGGACACCAAGUGACAUCGGUGACAUCCACACCUGAAGGUUUGGGGACAUCAGGUGACAUCGGUGACCCCCCCCCCCAGUUUGGUGCUUGGGGACAUUCGGGGACCUCGUGGACCCAGUGCUGGACACUUGGGGACACUUGGGGACAUGGUGCUGGACACUUGGGACCUCCUUGGGGACACUGGGGACGCUUUGGGGGGGAGAGUCCCUGCUGUCCUUAAUUAAUUAUUGCCCUUAAUUAAUUAUUUAUUCAUUAUUGUCCUUAAUUAAUUAUUUAUUAAUGGAUGAAUAAAAAUAUUUAUGGAUUCUUU